rnacentral:rRNA from 1 species
CAGCCGCCGCGGGAACACCAGCACCUCGAGUGGUCAGGAGGUUUAUUGGGCCUAAGGCAUCCGUAGCCGGUUGCAUAAGUUUUCGGUUAAAUCUAUGCGCUUAACGUAUAGGCCGCCGAAAAUACUGUGCAGCUAGGGAGUGGGAGAGGUACACGGUACUCGAUAGGAAGGGGUAAAAUCCUUUGAUCUAUUGAUGACCACCUGUGGCGAAGGCGGUGUACCAGAACACGUUCGACGGUGAGGGAUGAAAGCUGGGGGCGCGAACGGGAUUAGAUACCCCUGUAGUCCCUGUCUCUUAUAC